GGGUUGUGAGGUUAAGCGACUAAGCGUACACGGUGGAUGCCCUGGCAGUCAGAGGCGAUGAAGGGCGUGCUAAUCUGCGAUAAGCGCCGGUAAGGUGAUAUGAACCGUUAUAACCGGCGAUACCCGAAUGGGGAAACCCAGUGUGACUCGUCACACUAUCAUUAACUGAAUCCAUAGGUUAAUGAGGCGAACCGGGGGAACUGAAACAUCUAAGUACCCCGAGGAAAAGAAAUCAACCGAGAUUCCCCCAGUAGCGGCGAGCGAACGGGGAGGAGCCCAGAGCCUGAAUCAGCAUGUGUGUUAGUGGAAGCGUCUGGAAAGGCGCGCGAUACAGGGUGACAGCCCCGUACACAAAAGCGCAUGUGCUGUGAGCUCGAUGAGUAGGGCGGGACACGUGGUAUCCUGUCUGAAUAUGGGGGGACCAUCCUCCAAGGCUAAAUACUCCUGACUGACCGAUAGUGAACCAGUACCGUGAGGGAAAGGCGAAAAGAACCCCGGCGAGGGGAGUGAAAAAGAACCUGAAACCGUGUACGUACAAGCAGUGGGAGCACCCUUCGGGGUGUGACUGCGUACCUUUUGUAUAAUGGGUCAGCGACUUAUAUUCUGUAGCAAGGUUAACCGUAUAGGGGAGCCGGAGGGAAACCGAGUCUUAAUUGGGCGUUAAGUUGCAGGGUAUAGACCCGAAACCCGGUGAUCUAGCCAUGGGCAGGUUGAAGGUUGGGUAACACUAACUGGAGGACCGAACCGACUAAUGUUGAAAAAUUAGCGGAUGACCUGUGGCUGGGGGUGAAAGGCCAAUCAAACCGGGAGAUAGCUGGUUCUCCCCGAAAGCUAUUUAGGUAGCGCCUCGUGAAUUCAUCUCCGGGGGUAGAGCACUGUUUCGGCUAGGGGGCCAUCCCGGCUUACCAACCCGAUGCAAACUGCGAAUACCGGAGAAUGUUAUCACGGGAGACACACGGCGGGUGCUAACGUCCGUCGUGAAGAGGGAAACAACCCAGACCGCCAGCUAAGGUCCCAAAGUCAUGGUUAAGUGGGAAACGAUGUGGGAAGGCCCAGACAGCCAGGAUGUUGGCUUAGAAGCAGCCAUCAUUUAAAGAAAGCGUAAUAGCUCACUGGUCGAGUCGGCCUGCGCGGAAGAUGUAACGGGGCUAAACCAUGCACCGAAGCUGCGGCAGCGACACUGUGUGUUGUUGGGUAGGGGAGCGUUCUGUAAGCCUGUGAAGGUGGCCUGUGAGGGUUGCUGGAGGUAUCAGAAGUGCGAAUGCUGACAUAAGUAACGAUAAAGCGGGUGAAAAGCCCGCUCGCCGGAAGACCAA
rnacentral:rRNA from 1 species